rnacentral:rRNA from 1 species
GUGGGGAAUCUUCCGCAAUGGACGAAAGUCUGACAGAGCGACGCCGCGUGAGUGAAGAAGGCCUUCGGGUCGUAAAGCUCUGUCAUCAGGGACGAACGGCCGGUGGAGUGGAAAGCCACCGGAUUGACGGUACCUGAGAAGGAAGCCACGGCUAACUACGUGCCAGCAGCCGCGGUAAUACGUAGGUGGCAAGCGUUGUCCGGAAUUAUUGGGCGUAAAGCGCGCGCAGGUGGGAUCUUAAGUCCAUUUUGAAAGUUCGGAGCUCAACUCCGUGAUGGGAUGGAAACUGGGAUUCUUGAGUACCGGAGAGGAAAGCGGAAUUCCCCGUGUAGCGGUGAAAUGCGUAGAUAUGGGGAGGAACACCAGUGGCGAAGGCGGCUUUCUGGACGGUGUCUGACACUGAGGCGCGAAAGCCAGGGGAGCGAACGGGAUUAGAUACCCUGGUAGUCC